rnacentral:rRNA from 1 species
AAUGAACGCUGGCGGCGUGCUUAACACAUGCAAGUCGAGCGCGAAAGCGACUUCGGUCGUUAGUAGAGCGGCGCACGGGUGAGUAACACGUGGAUAACCUGCCUGAGUGUGGGGAAUAACUUGGGGAAACCUAAGCUAAUACCGCAUACGUUCGCUGGGCUGCGGCCUGGCGAGGAAAGACCGCCUCUUCUUGAAAGCGGUCGCACUCAGAGGGGUCCGCGGCUGAUUAGCUAGUUGGUGAGGUAAUGGCUCACCAAGGCGACGAUCAGUAGCCGGCCUGAGAGGGUGAUCGGCCACACUGGAACUGAGACACGGUCCAGACUCCUACGGGAGGCAGCAGUGGGGAAUAUUGGACAAUGGGCGAAAGCCUGAUCCAGCAACGCCGCGUGGAGGAUGAAGGCCUUCGGGUUGUAAACUCCUGUCGGGUGGAACGAAAAAGCUUGGUUAAUAGCCAGGUCAUAUGACGGUAC